GGGGAUUUAGCUUAGCGGCAAAAGCGCUUGCCUUGAAAGCAGGCAGUCGUGAAUUUGAUCCCUG
rnacentral:tRNA from 1 species